AGGGGUGGAGCAGGCACUGUCUUCCAUCCACUCCUCCGCUGUGUUUGGAGCCCUUUGGUUUAAGGGUGGAGAGAGAAGCCAGCAGCUGUUUGCCUCAGUGACGUUUUAAGACUCUGUGUUCUAAAGGAGCUACUUCAGCCCCGUAAGAAAAUAUGGCUCAGGCUUGGUUAGAAGAGCCAAGAAUCCCAAUGAAGAAAAUGGAGGGAAAAAAAAGAUCGGCAAUGACAUCCCUGCCCCACCCUACAUCCACUCGCAUGAAGACUUGAUUCUCAGCACCACUGUCUUCCUUCCUCUUUCCCUACCCAAGCUUCAUCCUCAGUUGCCUUUACCAAGGACUCUACUCUCUCAAUCCCUGCCCUCCCUCCCACAGCUUGCAUCACCUUGUUGAUCUCAAAGCUUCGGGGAAAUGAAAAUAGCUUCUCAUCUUGAAAAGGGCUUCUGUCCCUGCUGUGUGGUAUAAUUGGACACGGUGCACUUAUUUCCUGCCCCUUAUUAUCUGGCCCCUUACAGACAUCUAGGUCUGCUGUUUUCUUCCCAUUUUUAAAAACUUGGAGUUAUGUUAUUGUGUCUAUUGACACAGAUAGCAGAGGGCUUCCUAGAUGCCCUUGAAUGCCUUUGUGAUAGUUCUUGCCUCCUCAAAGAAACAUUUCUUAGUGAUCCUUGAGUUCAGAGCCAUCAUUGAAUAGCUUUGGAAACUCAGGCAACCAAAGAGCCAUCUCGUGUAUUCCUAGAGUCCCUCUUCUUCUGAAUCUAUACGUGGACCUUUGCACCUAGCAAAGGUU
rnacentral:lncRNA from 1 species